GCGCGCCAGGGCUACGCUAUAUGGGCGGCCGGAGGGGGCGUGGCCCGGCGCGUGACGUCAGCGCGCAACACGCUGCCUUCCCGCUGCGAGCGCGGGGCUGGAGGGUGCCGGUGGACUCCGCAGCCCGUGAGAUUGCGCACACCUCAGUUUGGACCAGGGACAUUCUCAAUGUUCAAGUGCUGCCUGCGGCCAGUGGCUACUCUGCAGGAUGGUGUGGCCCUUACAGAAUCAGAAAACAUGUCCAAAUCAACUUCAUAACCGUCUCAGUCCUCAUUUUAUAAAACACAACAUUUUCUUGACGCUACCAGCAGCAUCACUUCUGUCAGCCACUAGCCUCGUAAAAUGAACGAAUCCAUAAUCACCCCUCUACGGGAAGGAGGUCGAUUUCAAUGACUAUCUAAUAAAGGAAUAAAUUCCGCGUUAAAAAAAAAUCAGAAUCCCUAAGAACCCUAGAGGCAAAUGCCAAAGGAAAUCUGAUCUGAUGAAAACAGGUUUUUUUUUUUUUUUUUUAAGGGAGGCUUUAUUUUCUUUUUUCCCAAAGACAAAACUGCAUUUUAAAAAUGGUCGUUUGGUUUAUCGACGAAUCUCUAUUUAAGGAACUGAAUACAGAACUGAUUAUACAGCUGGGAAAACUUCUCCACUGCAACGCACUCUGAAAUGGUCUGAUUUGGUGGAAAGCUUGAAUCAGGCCGAAGCGGAUGGUUUUGCAACUCUGACGUGCUUAAUUACUUUCAACGCAGAGCCAGCCAGGAACUCAUUCUUUUACCUGCGGAGUCCGGGAGAACGCACCCCACAGCUGAUGAAGAUGGUUUGUAAUGAGCGGCUCAUCUGCGCACUAGAGAGAGACAAUGAGAGAAUAGUCCAUCUGUUGAUUUACUCCCCCACAAUACUGGCUGGGCCAGGUGAAGCCGAGAGCCUGGAACUCCAACGGGAGUCCAGGCCUCCCAUGGUGAGUGUCCCUUAUGUUUGGCACUAGGUGGGCUGUGUUGCCUAGUGUGUCCCUUCCAGGAAGGCCACUCUUAAGGAAGUAGAUGCAUCCAUUCAACAGACUAUUUUUUUUAAAGAUUUAUUUUAUUUAUUUGAAAGAGUAACAGAGAGAGGUAGAGACAGAGAGAGGUCUUCCCUCCACUGGUUCACUCCCCAGAUGGCCACAAUGUCUAGAGCUGAGCCGAUCCGAAGUCAGGAGCCAGGAGCUUCUUCCGGGUCUCCCACGUGGGUGUGGGGGCCCAAGGACUUGGACCAUCUUCUACUGCUUUCCCAAACCAUAGCAGAGGGCUGGAUCAGAAGUGGAGUGGCCGGGUCUCAAACCGGCACCCACAUGGGAUGCUGGUGCUUCAGGCCAGGGUGUUAACUCACUGUGCCACAGUGCUGGUCCCUCAACAGGAUGAGCUGCCACUCUGUGCUACACCUUGGGCUGGGCUAGGCAGGGAGGGACAAAGAUGGACAUGCUCUCGGUCUGGUUUUGAAUAAUCUUGUGUGGGAAAAUACUUAUAAUUCAGAUAAGAUGGAAGGAUGUACAAAACCCAGCUGUACCCAGAGAGAGGAUCCUGGGGUUGGGGGAGGCAGGGCACUACUGAUGUGGCUGCCAUGAAAGCUUAUUUAGGCUAUGUUAGUAGAGAGCUGAGGGUGGCAUAUGGCUAAGCAGUUAAGAUGCCCCUUGGGAUGCCUGCCUCACACAUUGGAGUGCCUGGGUUUGAGUCCUAAGUCCUCUCCCGAUUCCGGCUUCUUGCUGAUGCACACCUUGGGAGAUGGCAGGUGAUAGCUCAAGUGGUUAGAUCCCUAUCACCCUAGUGGAGGCCUUGGAUGGAGUUCUGGGCUCUGGUUUUGGCCUGGCCCAGUCCUGGCUGUUGUGGGGCUGACUGGUUUAUGAUGGCAUCAUUGCCCAAGAUGAGGGGGCUGUCUCUCUCCACGUGGCUCCCUGUGAUCCCCUCCCCAGGAGGCCAGCCACGGGGUGAAUUUCCGGAGCUGCAAAAGAAGACAAACUCCAUUGCUCAGGUACUUUCUCAACUUCUGCUUGCAUCAUUGUGCCUGCUUGUCUUGGCCAGAUUGCACCCAGCUGGGUCCGGAGUCCAAGGGAGAGGGCAUCAAGGUGACCUAACAAGGUGCGGAUUCAGGGGCAGAGGGUAUGGGUGGGGGAGGAAAUUUGGUUCCUUUUUUGCAGUCUUCACAGCGGGACAGCCCUCACGACAGGAACAUCUGUGUGCUUGUGUGACUGUGUGCCCCCCUAGGCUGUGAGCCUUGACUUCUGCAGAUGCUGGCACGGAGCAGGUGUUUAGUCGUUACUCACUUCUGAUGCCUGUGUGGCCCACAUGGACGUUUGACCCAAAGGAAUGGUCAGAGAACCCCCAGGUGCAGCUGGUGGCAGGUCGGGGGAGGAAGGGACAGGACGGAGACAGCCAGUCCUUGUCAGGGUUUGCUCAGCAGCUCAGGCAUGCAGUUUGUCCCAGGGAGCGAUGAGAUGUGAUUCAGCCACAGUCUGGUCUCCACCUUUAAAUGUUGGGAAGCGCAUAAAUCAGCACGUUCCUCCCAAGCAGACUCUGGGGACAGCACUGCCAGCCUGCUCACUGUAAUUAGGCCUCCAGCAAUGAGUGUUUUAUUGCCGGCUUCCCAGGGGAAGGGGAGUGGAGUGACUGGGGCUGCGAUGUUUGUGUGGGACCCUAAUCUGGGGAGUCUGGGCCAAGAAUGCAAGCCUGUGCCCGACCUGGGGUUUAUCCUCCUCUCUUUGCGUCCCAAGGGCAUAUCCAAACACUCUCCACCCUCAGCCCCUGCGAAGAACCUUCACUUGGCCCUGUGAGUCCAGGGGUGCACUCACUGGGGACUGUCACCCUUGGGAGGAAGGCUCCAAAGGAAGAAAGAUACAAGUCCUGGAAGCAGGUGUGAGGCCACUGAGGUGAAGCCGAGGGCCUGGACCUCAAUCCAGGCCUGGGGGAUUCUGGGGUGCCGGGGGACUGUGCGUGGCCUGGGAUGGGGAGGGUCUACAGGUGGGCACAUGCUGUCUUUUCUCGCUUGGUUGGUAGGGGCAUGGCCACAAGAAGGGUGGAGAAGGACCUUCUGUAGUAGGGGCCCCAUGCGAGCAGGCCCUGGUCGCUGAACUCUAGGGGUGGUUCUGUUCGUGUGCCUGCCGAGCUGCCAAGGCAGGGGAUCUGAGAUUUGACCUUCCCACAUGACCAGCAGCACUGGGCCUCCCAGGUUCUAGGAAACACGUGAGUGGAGCCAGGCCUGUUGAGGACUCUGGAAGCCACAGUCAGCACAUCUCUCUACUGAAGUGGAGGCUUUGUACCUUCAUUUUGUAUUUGACGCUUGCAUAGACCUGUGGGUCACCACAAGGGCAUCUCAGCCCCUGUUGACGGGAUGAGGAUGCUGGGCUCUGAGGUAGGUGGCUCGGCACAGGCCACACCCACAUCACUGGCGGAGCAGAGCUUACUGGGCCCCGCUGGCGGACUCCAGGUGCAGGACUCCUGCUGCUGGAUUUCAGGUUAGAUCUUAGGGUAUGGACCUAUCUCUUGGACCUGUAGUUGUCUCAACUCCCCCUCACUGAGCUGUUUCCAGGUUCUCUUUUUCUCUUGCUACUGUAGACAAUGUGACGGUGAGCAUCCUUGCACUGGCAGGGCAGGGCCCCAAGUCUAGGAUUGAAUCCUACCUCUGGGGGGAUACAAUUACUGACUGUCUUGAGCAUG